GUGGGUGUAGCUCAGUUGGUAGAGUGCUUUCCUGGCAUAGAUGAAGCCCUGGGUUCCAGCCCCAGCAACAUACA
rnacentral:tRNA from 1 species